rnacentral:tRNA from 1 species
GGGGUUGUGGCUUAGUGGUAGAGCAUUCACCUUGCUGUGCAAAGCCCUGGGUUCAAUCCUCAACACCCCA